rnacentral:rRNA from 1 species
GAUGAACGCUGGCGGCAUGCCUAACACAUGCAAGUCGAACGAAGCUGCUCGGAAAGAGAUUUCGGUCAAUUGAAGAGUAGACUUAGUGGCGAACGGGUGAGUAAUGCAUGAGCAACCUGCCCUUCAGUGGGGGAUAACAGCCGGAAACGACUGCUAAUACCGCAUAACAUUUUCGAGAGGCAUCUCUUGAAAAUCAAAGAUUUAUUGCUGAAGGAUGGGCUCAUGUCUGAUUAGUUAGUUGGUGAGGUAACGGCUCACCAAGACCGCGAUCAGUAGCCGGUCUGAGAGGAUGAACGGCCACAUUGGGACUGAGAUACGGCCCAGACUCCUACGGGAGGCAGCAGUGGGGAAUAUUGGGCAAUGGGCGAAAGCCUGACCCAGCAAUGCCGCGUGAAGGAAGAAGGCCUUCGGGUUGUAAACUUCUUUUAUCAGGGACGAAGAAAGUGACGGUACCUGAUGAAUAAGCUCCGGCUAACUACGUGCCAGCCGCCGCGGUAA